rnacentral:rRNA from 1 species
UAGCAUAUCAAUAAGCGGAGGAAAAGAAACCAACAGGGAUUGCCCUAGUAACGGCGAGUGAAGCGGCAACAGCUCAAAUUUGAAAUCUGGCUCUUUUGGGGGUCCGAGUUGUAAUUUGCAGAGGAUGCUUUGGCAUUGGCGGCGGUCUAAGUUCCUUGGAACAGGACAUCACAGAGGGUGAGAAUCCCGUACGUGGUCGCCUGCCCUUGCCGUGUAAAGCUCCUUCGACGAGUCGAGUUGUUUGGGAAUGCAGCUCUAAAUGGGAGGUAAAUUUCUUCUAAAGCUAAAUACUGGCCAGAGACCGAUAGCGCACAAGUAGAGUGAUCGAAAGAUGAAAAGUACUUUGGAAAGAGAGUCAAAAAGCACGUGAAAUUGUUGAAAGGGAAGCGCUUGCAGCCAGACUUGCCCGCAGUUGCUCACCUAGGCUUUCGCCUGGGGCACUCUUCUGCGGGCAGGCCAGCAUCAGUUUGGGCGGUUGGAUAAAGGCCUCUGUCACGUAUCUCCCUUCGGGGUGACCUUAUAGGGGAGGCGCAAUGCAACCAGCCCGGACUGAGGUCCGCGCAUCUGCUAGGAUGCUGGCGUAAUGGCUGUAAGCGGCCCGUCUUGAAACACGGACCAAGGAGUCUAACAUCUAUGCGAGUGUUUGGGUGUCAAGCCCGAGCGCGCAAUGAAAGUGAACGGAGGUGGGAACCCUUUGGGUGCACCAUCGACCGAUCCUGAUGUCUUCGGAUGGAUUUGAGUAAGAGCAUAGCUGUUGGGACCCGAAAGAUGGUGAACUAUGCUUGAAUAGGGUGAAGCCAGAGGAAACUCUGGUGGAGGCUCGCAGCGGUUCUGACGUGCAAAUCGAUCGUCAAAUUUGGGCAUAGGGGCGAAAGACUAAUCGAACC